ensembl:lncRNA
UGUUGUGAUAUGCUCUAUUGCACAUGUUUUGUAUGUCUUAUGACAUUUUGCUAUCAAAUAUUUUAAUAAAGAAGUUCAAGUUUCAAGUUUUAGUACAUGGAAUCAUGGAAAAUCCUUUUUUUUUUUUCCCUUGGUAUCGAAAUUGGUAUCGAGAAUCGUGUUAUUUUACUGGUAUUGGUACCGACUACUGAAUUUUUGGUAUCGUGACACCCCUACCCUGCAGAGCUCCCUGAAGUCUGAGUCUCGCAGCAGGAAUGAGGCUCUCAGGCUGAAGAAGAAGAUGGAGGGAGACCUCAAUGAGAUGGAGAUCCAGCUCAGCCAGGCCAACAGGCAGGCAGCAGUGAAUGAAUAGGAUUCCCAACUGCAUCUGGAUGAAUCUCUCCGUGCUAAAGACAACAUUGCCAUUGAGGAAAGAUGCAACAUUCUGCUGCAGGCUGAACUGGAUGGAGCUGGUGGAGCAGACUGAGAGAUGCCGGACACUGGCUUAACAGGAGCUGCUGGACGUCAGCGAGAGGGUGCAGCUGCUGCUCUCUCAGAACACCAGCUUGCUGAACCAGAAAAAGAAGCUAGAGGGUGAUACAUCCUAGCUGCAGACUGAAGCGGAGGAGGCUGUGCAGGAGUGCACGAAUGCUGAGGAAAAGGCCUACAGGAGGCUGGAGGACUCAGGUCACGAAAAGGAGACGGAAUACGGAAGACGGGCGGGCAGGCAGGCAGGCAGGCAGGCAGAAAGCCACCGGCAUGCACACUGGAAAUACAUCUGCAGGAUUGCAGCGGCACGACUACGAGGAGACCGAGAGAAAGCAGAGAACCCAUCAUCAACGCAC